rnacentral:rRNA from 1 species
UACGUAGGGGGCAAGCGUUGUCCGGAAUCAUUGGGCGUAAAGAGCGUGUAGGCGGCUCGGUAAGUCCGCUGUGAAAGUCCAGGGCUCAACCCUGGAAUGCCGGUGGAAACUGUCGAGCUAGAGUCCGGAAGAGGCGAGUGGAAUUCCUGGUGUAGCGGUGAAAUGCGCAGAUAUCAGGAGGAACACCGAUGGCGAAGGCAGCUCGCUGGGACGGUACUGACGCUGAGGAGCGAAAGCAUGGGGAGCGAACAGG